UUAUGGAAGCACUCCGAUGAUACGACGCGGAUGUGGACAGCUGCAAAAUCUUUGAACAGAAUUGUUUAUUAGUGCCUUUCAUCGAUUGCGCAAAUUAUCCUGAGGAUUUGUUUCACGGUGAAGAAAAUGCAUCUAGUUAAUUUUUAAUAAACCAUUGAAGAAAAAGUAAAAUCGAAUAUCAGGUUUUGAAUAUGUAGCCAAAGUGGUGAAAAUGUCAACUUCCCGAAAUAUAGUGGUUUAUUCAACCGUUUCCAUCAGUUUUUCGUUCUGGACAAUACAGCCCACAAAAAAACGUAAACAUACAAACCGGAAUGUUUAACGACUCGGCGGGAAUAUAUAUUACAAAAAUAAUCUCGAGGCAAAAUGGUGAGAUCUCUCAUCGUAUCGGUAACAAAAUGAAGAUAUUGUUCAAAUCGAACUCAGAUAUUGGCCGAGAAUAAAUUUUAAUCCCCUGCUAAGUAUGCCGAGAAUUGUCUGCCUCGACUUCAAUGACACGUCAGAGAAUUGCUAAAUCUCACAAGCUAAUGAUUGGGCCCAGAAUACAUAUUGACGGUACGAGCAGUAGGCUUACAGCACACGCAUUAAGUGCAACAUUGUAGCAGCAGAUUUCUAGCGAUGUAUAUUAAAAAAACUGUUCUUCUAGAGGUAUAUAAACGCUUUACAUCGACAUGGUAUGCAUCUUAACGUGGACCAGUAACGAAAACAUCUUUGUGCGGAUUUGAGCCAGCGACACUGACCUUAAGAGCAGUAGGCCUGCAUCAAGCAGACCGUCUAUCACUUGGUUGGUUCAAUAAACCAUCUACCACGAGCCACUUUCCUUUCGUAAGUCGCGCCCGUUCAUCAUUGAAGUCGAGAGCUUCGCCGGAAGUGAAAUACGAGAUAUUGGAACUUCGUAGUACGUCUUUCAUUCUCCACCUUGGUCACGCAAUAUAAUCUCCGUUGCUGUCAUAAUACCAUUGGAAUUUACUGCAAGAGUCUGGCCACAACACAACUAGAUUCUUCAUACAAAGCGAUGCUGAUAACGACUUGACACUGUACUGUAGAAAGCAGUCGGCCGAUUGACCUGUUGGUUGGAAUUGUGGUUCAGCGGAUUCUUAAUUUCUGGUUUGUAUAUCCUCAGUAUAGACACCGCAGCAUCACCUGUCCACCCACAAGGACCUACAAUCUGGAACGAGUACCCGAUACAUCAAGGUCACUUGGUUCUACUCGCUAAAAAGCUGUACGUUAUAAUUAAAAUGUACGACAACCCGUUAUCAAGGCGUCCGCAGUCUAGAAAAUACUUUUUUGUCAAUAAAUAAAAAUAUGCAUUUUAA